rnacentral:lncRNA from 1 species
GUACUGCUGCAAAGCAGUCAAUGACCUCGGGACAGUGGAGAUCGAAUGCAAACUGGAGGUGAAAGUGAUAUAUCAAGGAGUAAAUACCCCUGGACAGCCAGUCUCCCUGGAGGGGCAGCAACAGUUGUAGCACAGUAAGGAUGUUUGAAUGUAUAUUGUCACCCAAGGUGGGCUGUCCUUCUGCAGGCUCCUCCUGCAAGGCGUGCCUCCAAACAUAAUCGAUUCAUAUUUGCGAGACUUACAGUCAAGCAAUCCGGAGGAAUACUGAGGGCUGGGCACGGCCUCUACACACACCAGUGCCUUGACAUUCGAUUGAAAACGGAAAGCAUUUUCUGGUUUUCUCCCAGGCCCCCAAAUGUGGUCAUUUUCUCUCCUCCUAACCUUGAAGAAAGAAAGAAAAAUAAAUUGUUUGCACAGAUGGCUUGAUUAAAAAUCGCAA